rnacentral:rRNA from 1 species
CAGCAGCCACGGUAAUACGUAGGUGGCAAGCGUUGUCCGGAAUUAUUGGGCGUAAAGGGCUCGCAGGCGGUUUCUUAAGUCUGAUGUGAAAGCCCCCGGCUCAACCGGGGAGGGUCAUUGGAAACUGGGAAACCUGAGUGCAGAAGAGGAGAGUGGAAUUCCACGUGUAGCGGUGAAAUGCGUAGAGAUGUGGAGGAACACCAGUGGCGAAGGCGACUCUCUGGUCUGUAACUGACGCUGAGGAGCGAAAGCGUGGGGAGCGAACAGGAUUAGAUACCCCUGUAGUCCCUGUCUCUUAUAC